GGCUUAUGACAUAAAACAAGAGUUUUUUUGGAAGCAACCAAAGUUUUCAAUUCAAUUGUUGUGGUAGUUUUUAAUCUUUGUAACAAUAAGGAUGCAUGUUGUGGUUUUGUCGUUUUAUUUUUGCUUGGUGGGUGAUUUUUCAUGUCGUCUUGGUGCUUUUUGUUUGAGUUGAUUUUAGUGUGUUCUUUGGAGAAUUUGAUUUUAUUUGGUGAGUUUGGAAUCGUUUCUGAAAUUUCUACAAUUUUAAUACAUGAGAGAGUUGAAUUCUUAAAUUUAUAGUGCUUUGGCUUAAUUUUGUAAAGGUUUUAAUGAGUCCAUGGCCAUGGGCAUUUGAAUUUUUCAGUCGCAUGGCCGUGGGAACCAUUUUGCUUGAGUUUUCUUAGUCUUCAGAGGAGUACACGGCCAUGGGAAGUUGAUUUUUUCCUUCCCGGCCGUAGGUUCCCCUAAGAUUGAUAUUUUUCAAUCUCUAGAAGGGUGCACACCCGUGGGAAGAUGGAUUUUUUCCUUCCCACGCCGUGGGUUUCAUUGGGCCUGUAAUUUCUUGAUCUCCAGAGGAGUGCACAACCAUGGGGGGUGAAAUUUUCCCAAUCCACGCUUGUGGGGUGUCUCAAGGCUGAUUUUUCUUUUGUGGGUUGUAAGGCCCACGACCGUGGGUCACAAACCCAUGUCAUGGGUUUCAUUUUUUUGUUGUUUUCUUGACUUGGGGUUGAGCUUUGGAAGUUUAUUUGAUGGCUUUUUGGUCAUUCUCCUUGCUUGACACCUGGCCAUCUCCACCCUUGUUUCAGUGACACAUGGGCGUGGGCUUUUAUAACCCAUGGCCUUGGAUAAUUUUUUAGCCAAAGACCAAGUGUUUCUUCAUUCUUCUUCUUCAACUCUCAUCUUUUCUAAACCUCACAAGCUCCUCUCACCCUCUUUUGCCUCUCAAACCAAAUUCUCUUUCAUUUUCUUGGGUUUUUUAAGCUUUUUCCGACAUUUGGGUGCCCGAUCUACUCUUAUUGUCGUCGCCAAGAGGACCAACCAUGGCAAGAUAGCCAUGGCCGUGGGAAAUGGGGUUGCUGAAGUUUGAGAUUUAAUUAGUUUUUUAUUCCUUUGUGCAUGUAUGCCUCCUAGGACCAAACAGUAGCUCACAAAAGAUCCCGUCACGCACGUGAGGCCAUAUCAUUGGAUGAAUUUGCAUUUGCAAUGCAGGAGCACAGGGAAAGAUUUGAGCGCCUUCGCCACCUUAAGUUUGGGUAAGACAUUACAUUGAUUGGCGAGCGCUUCGAACAAUUAGCUUGAAAGAAGUCCGAGAAUUAGUAAAUGUGGGGGAAUGGAGCAAACUAUUGACCAUGCGUGUUGAGAGGCAACACUCGAAUUCCUUGCCACAUUUGAAUUUGACAAGUUGGUGAAGAACUUUGAUCAAGAAAAUGCUAUUUAUGUUUGAUGUUUGGGAAAUAAUUAUAAGUUGAGCUUGACAAAGUUUUCAAUUAUCUUUAUGAUCAAGAGAUUAUGUACAAACCGAGGGGUACGCGCAGUUGGAAACCAAUUACCCUCGAAAUGUCACUACCAAUCGUGCUUAUUAAUAUCUGGGCCGAGGUAACUUUAAGUCAGGGGUUCCUAAAGCUUCAGCCCUUAUGCGACCAGCAUUUCACUACAUCCACGUAGUUCUUAGCAGAACAGUUGCAGGCCAUGGAGAUGGUACGGGAGUCUUGAAUCGAAAUGACAUCUUGUAAUUUGUAUCGUAUGAUUCAGGGCAUCCCGAUGCAUAUAUAUUUGACAUAUUGUGGUCAGUUUUCUUCUGGUGGUGAUGUCACAGAUGGUGUUGAGGAGGUCCUGGAUGAUGUGUUGUACUUGAUGAGAAUUCUGAGAAGAGACAUUGUUGUGGUCAUGUCUCCUCCGAGAACUGCUACCUCCAUCUCAAGCCUCGCAAGUUGAUUACGUGCUUCGGUGGAUAGUUGUUCAAGUAACUGUGGGGCCUCUUCCUCGGUUGGAGAAUGGUCAGUGUCCAUGGGCGGGGCUUUGGUGACUCGGGGGUAUCCUCAAGACUCUCUCCCUCGCUUCUCUCAUUGUCGAUCAAUGUAAACUCACCCUCAAACCCCUCCAUAAGGAGGAUUUAAUGACCAUUGAGCGUUUAGUUGCCACCUAA